AACGAACGCUGGCGGCGUGCCUAACACAUGCAAGUCGAGCGCGAAUGGAGCAAUCCUAGUAGCGCGGCGCACGGGUGCGUAACACGUGGGUAAUCUGCCUGGGAGACCGGAAUAACCUGCCGAAAGGCUGGCUAAUACCGGAUAAGCCCACGGACUCUUCGGAGUCUGAGGGAAAAGGUGGCCUCUGUAUACAAGCUAUCACUUCCAGAUGAGCCCGCGGCCCAUCAGCUCGUUGGCGGGUAAGGCCACCAAGGCAACGACGGGUAGGCUGGUCUGAGAGGACGAUCAGCCACACUGGAACUGAGACACGGUCCAGACUCCUACGGGAGGCAGCAGUGGGGGAAGUUUUGUCACAAUGGGCGAAAGCCUGAUGCAGCAACGCCGCGUGUGUGAUGAAGGUCUUC
rnacentral:rRNA from 1 species